AAUGCUCAAAAACAUGCAAAAUCACGUAAAACAUGAUUUUCACCAAUCGUAGGCUGAAUUUAAGCUUACCCAUGCCUCUAACUAUGUGGUGAUACCACUCCU